UUGGAAUGAGUUGAUGCGUAUAAUUAGUCAUAUAUAGAAGCCAUUGGAGCUAAAAGAUGGGUGGUUAAAACGUACACUUCUUCUUUUCUUAUUUUGUAAACCUAACGCAACAUAUUAGGGUUUCACUCCAGAGCCGCUUCCUCACAUCUCUUCGUAGUUUCUUGUCUCUGUAUAUAGUAUCAGUCUAUUAGAGAGUUGUGAAAUUUGUAGGAAGUGGAAAGGGGAUGAGUGUUUCCGGGAGCUUUUGGAGUGGGUGGCAUGGCAAGAUAUCAUAUUUUAUGCUGCAUAAAAAUUGAAAUCUUGCCAAUUCCCCCCAUUCCGAUGGCUCCCGAUCAGCUCUCCCUUUCCUUUUUCUCCAGCGUAAUGUGUUUGGUCUACAACGUCAAAUCUUUUCCUUUUAUAGAAUGCAGCAUCCUUGUAGUUUAUGUCAGACAGAUGGUUAACCUUUUAUUUUAUUUUAUGAAAAGGUAGAGAUUCAUUUAAUGGUAGUACUAACCUGCUACUGUGAGAUUCCAUCCUUGGCUCAAACUUAAAACUGCUGUGCAGCUGUUGUUAAGAGUAAGGAGUUUAUUUAUGCGCUCCACUGAUGUGAUUCUUCAUUUCACCAGGCUAAUAAUUAUCGCUUUAUAUUAUUUGUCAACCACGUUUACUUGUGUGUUCACAACGUUAAAACCAUCACAAAAGUGAAUGCUUAUCACACUGUAGCUAUAACAUCCUCUUCUUUUGUCGUGAUGCUAUUUAUCCAUUUAGUUAAGGCAUAUACUCUUUGAAUGUUACCCUGUUUGGACGAGCUUAUUGCAAAGGUUAUAGUACGGCUGAGAGAUACAGAACCUUGUCUAAGCUCUUAUUGGAUUUUUCUGUCCUCUUGAAAACCAUUAAAGAUGAAGCUGCUGCACAGCUUCAUAUUUUUUGCUGUUUCUUAUUAAUUUUUGUGGCCUUUUUUAUGGUCUUUUUUUUUUUUUUUAAUCUCGUGAAGCCGAGGUAGUUAUUUCUAAUGGGCAGUCAUGGUGGUGCGACGUAUGUUUUUCCCGGCCAUGAUGCUUUACAAGCUUAAAGAAAGAUAUUCCAAAAAUGGGGUUGUUGUAUCAGAUUUUGAAGGUUUUCAUAUCUUGAAACAAGAACAAAGAUGAUGUACUUGUUAGCAGCGGAAGUUUUGCACAAGAUCACCACAAAAAUUUCCCCAAAUCUAACUUCGUCUCACUUGGAAACGGAGUAUUUUUUCACGAACUAGAUGUCUUUCACUUCUCUCUUUUCUUUACUGUGUGUUAUUCUAUUUUUGUGUAUCACUGGAGAAUGCUGGAGUAUUUUUCAUAUAUAGAAGAGGAGGUUAUGUUUU